rnacentral:rRNA from 1 species
AGCGAACGCUGGCGGCAGGCCUAACACAUGCAAGUCGAACGGAUCCUUCGGGAUUAGUGGCAGACGGGUGAGUAACGCGUGGGAAUCUACCCAUCCCUACGGAACACCUCCGGGAAACUGGAGCUAAUACCGUAUACGCCCUUAGGGGGAAAGAUUUAUCGGGGAUGGAUGAGCCCGCGUUGGAUUAGCUAGUUGGUGGGGUAAAGGCCUAACAAGGCGACGAUCCAUAGCUGGUCUGAGAGGAUGAUCAGCCACAUUGGGACUGAGACAAGGCCCAAACGCCUACGGGAGGGAGCAGUGGGGAAUAUUGGACAAUGGGCGCAAGCCUGAUCCAGCCAUGCCGCGUGAGUGAUGAAGGCCUUAGGGUUGUAAAGCUCUUGCACCGAUGAAGAUAAUGACGGUAGUCGGAGAAGGAGCCCCGGCUAACUUCGUGCCAGCCGCCGCGGUAAGAC